GACGAACGCUGGCGGUGUGCUUAACACAUGCAAGUCGAACGGUAAGGCCCUUUCGGGGGUACACGAGUGGCGAACGGGUGAGUAACACGUGAGUAACCUGCCCUCAUCUCUGGGAUAACAGUCGGAAACGGUUGCUAAUACUGGAUAUGAGCUUGCAAGGCAUCUUGUGGGUUGGAAAGAUUUUUUUGGUUGGGGAUGGACUCGCGGCCUAUCAGCUUGAUGGUGAGGUAGUGGCUCACCAAGGCUUCGACGGGUAGCCGGCCUGAGAGGGCGACCGGCCACAUUGGGACUGAGAUACGGCCCAAACUCCUACGGGAGGCAGCAGUGGGGAAUAUUGCACAAUGGACGGAAGUCUGAUGCAGCAACGCCGCGUGCGGGAUGACGGCCUUCGGGUUGUAAACCGCUUUCAAUUGUGACGAAGCUUUUUGUGACGGUAGCAGUAGAAGAAGCACCGGCUAACUACGUG
rnacentral:rRNA from 1 species